AUUGAACGCUGGCGGCAGGCCUAACACAUGCAAGUCGAGCGAGCGGCGGACGGGUGAGUAAUGUCUGGGAAACUGCCUGAUGGAGGGGGGGAACUCCUGGAAACGGUAGCUAAUAUCGCAUACCCUAAGAUGUGCCCAGAUGGGAUUAGGUCGUAGGUGGGGUAACGGCUCACCUAGGCGACGAUCCCUAGCUGGUCUGAGAGGAUGACCAGCCACACUGGAACUGAGACACGGUCCAGACGCCUCAGGGAGGCAGCAGUGGGGAAUAUUGCACAAUGGGCGCGAGCCUGAUGCAGCCAUGCCGCGUGUGUGAAGAAGGCCUUCGGGUUGUAAAGCACUUUCAGCGGGGAUGCGUUACCCGCAGAAGAAGCACCGGCUAACGCCGUGCCAGCAGCCGCGGUAAUUC
rnacentral:rRNA from 1 species